UUGCUCGCUUCAGCAGCACAUAUACUAAAAUUGGAGCAAUACAGAGAUUAGCAUGGCCCCUGCGCGAGGAUGACACACAAAUUCAUGAAGCAUUCCAUAUUUUA